rnacentral:lncRNA from 1 species
AUUUUGGUAUUAUCUUUUUACGAUUUGAUGUCUUAUUGAUUUAUUGUUCUUUGAUUUUUGGUUUAAGAUUAUUGAUAGGUAGUUGUUUGAUGUAAAAUUGUCGUUUUAGAGUUGUAUAUAUUUUAUGUGUAUUUAAAUGUUUGGUAAUUAUUACAUCUUAUUGGUUGUUUGUAGGUAGGGUUGAACAGCUGGUCAUUUGUUUAGGCUUUUAAUUAAUGUUCUGGUUUCAAUUUAGGGAUUAUAUUUUAACAGUGUUAUGUCUUGUUGAUUUUUUUUUCUUUUGGUUUAUGUUUUAAGAGUUUUGAUAGUUAGUUGUUUUAUGUAAAUUUGUCGUUUUGGAGUUGUAUAUAUUUUAUGUGUAUUUAAAUGUUUGUUAAUUAUUACAUCUUAUUGGUUGUUUGUAGGUAGGGUUGAACAGUUGGUCAUCACCACUGGAUUUGAAUUACGGAAUUUCUUUAACUCAUUGAUGCUGGUCGGCAUUUUUUUUGUGAUUUGAUAAGGUAUUUGUUAUCCCCCAGGGGAACACGUAAUCACGUGUUUACGGGUCUUAGCGAACCCGGGGUCCUGAGCUCUUGUUGGUUGUAGGUAGUAAUAAUCAGCUGUUCAACUCUUUUGUCUUUAAUUUAAGGAAAUGUUUUUACUUAUUGUUAUAGGUCUGUUUGGGUGCUUCGGCAUCUUAUUGUGAUUUGUUUAGGAAUUAGAUCCCCCAGGGGAACACGUUCUUACGUGUUUACGGGUCUUAGCGAAUCCGGGGUCCUGAGCUCUUGUUGGUUGUAGGUAGUAAUGAUCAGCUGUUCAACUCCUUUGUCUUUAAUUUAAGGAAAUGUUGUUACUUAUUGUUAUAGGUCUCUUUUUGUGCUUCGGCUUCUUAUUCUGAUUUGUUUGUAUCCCCCAGGGGAACACGUUCUUACGUGUUUACGGGUCUUAGCGAACCCGGGGUCCUGAGCUCUUGUUGGUUGUAGUUAGUAAUGAUCAGCUGUUCAACUCUUUUGGCUUUGAUUUAGGUAAAUGUUAUUACUUUUUGUUAUAGGUCUGUUUGGGUGCUUCGGCGUCUUAUUGUGAUUUGUUUAGGGAUUCGUUAUCCUCCAGAGGAACACGUUCUUACGUGUUUACGGGUCUUAGCGAACCCGGGGUCCUGAGCUCUUGUUGGUUGUAGAACUUGAACUUUUUUUUUGGAUCAACAUAAAUCAAGGAUUCUACAGGAGCCAGAACCUGGAUUUUUUUUUUGGAUCGACCCAAAUCAAUUUCCCUCCGGGAGCCGGGGAUCCCCUUUUCAUUUCUACUUCUGAACUGUACACUUUGAAUAUUUAAUGAACUUGGAUUUUGAAUCGUUUCAAUCUAAAGGAGGUGUCCUUUGAGAGCCGGGAAUUCAUCAAUUAUAUUGAGAAGAGUGAUGGAAACAAGAUUGGAGUUAUCUAUAUUUAAGUAUUUCUUUUUUUAUUUAUAAUGGAUUUACUAGGAAGAGCGCAAUAGGACUUGUGUUUUGGCUUUCAAUAAGAAUUUAAUUAUUUAAAAUUUUAUAAUCUUAAUUUUGUCUAGAGUUGGGUAUUUCUUUUUUUUUUUUAUAGUAGUGGUUUUUCUAUAUGUUUUAUUGGUUUUUUAAUUUUGUAGCGAAGAAAAUGUGCUGACUUUUAAUGAGGAAUUCUCAUUUAACUAUUUGAUGUAGGAUUAUUUAUUGUUCUUUGGCUGAUCUUUUUUAUGACUUUUGCUAGGUAUAGGUUUGAU